AGAGUUUGAUCCUGGCUCAGAUUGAACGCUGGCGGCAUGCCUUACACAUGCAAGUCGAACGGGCUUUGGGGCUUGCUCCAAAGUUAGUGGCGAACGGGUGAGUAAUAUAUCGGAACGUACCCUUGAGUGGGGGAUAACAUAGCGAAAGUUAUGCUAAUACCGCAUACGAUCUAAGGAUGAAAGUGGGGGACCGGCAAGGCCUCACGCUCCUGGAGCGGCCGAUAUCUGAUUAGCUAGUUGGUGAGGUAAAGGCUCACCAAGGCUUCGAUCAGUAGCUGGUCUGAGAGGACGAUCAGCCACACUGGGACUGAGACACGGCCCAGACUCCUACGGGAG
rnacentral:rRNA from 1 species